rnacentral:tRNA from 1 species
CAGCUUUAUCGCGGUGACGGUGGGGGUGCUGGGAGCGCCCUGGGUGCUGUUCAGCCCGCAGGAGCUGGCC